rnacentral:rRNA from 1 species
UACGGGGGAGCAAGCGUUGUUCGGAUUUACUGGCGUAAAGGGCGCGUAGGCGGUCAGCACAAGUCAGUUGUGAAAUCUCCGGGCUUAACUCGGAAAGGUCAACUGAUACUGUGCGACUAGAGUGCAGAAGGGGCAACUGGAAUUCUCGGUGUAGCGGUGAAAUGCGUAGAUAUCGUAAGGAAGACCAGUGGCGAAGGCGAGUCUCUGGACAGUUACUGACACUGAGGCACGAAGGCCAGGGAGCAAACGGG